AUUUAUGCCCGUGUGAAAGAGGAAGUAAUGACUACAAAACUUCAUGUUUGUAGUCACGCUGAUGUGCUAAAAAUCUAAAUAUGAAUGGGAUUAUACUUUAUAGAUAUUUUCUUCAUAAGAAUUUCUAGCGGUGCUAAUAAUUGAAGCCAGUGAACUAAUGAAACCAAUGAAGGAUCAAAAUUAUAAACAAUGCCGAUUUUUUAAGCCUUCUAUGCUCAUAUUUACCACGGGGGCUAAUAAUUCUGAUCACAACUCUAUCAUUUGGGUACUGUUAUGUACGUUUGAGAUACUAAUAUGCACCCUUAAGGGGUAAAUAAAGUACAAAGGUGUACAUUUUUAAAAGGUACCACCCCAGAGACCUUUAUUUUUCUGACAGGUGUAUAAAAAUUAUAAAAAAAACUACUGUUAAACUUAAGAAGUGAAAUAUUUUUUGUGACUGUAAAUUAUAAAUGCAGUCACUUAACCUCAAUGUACCACAUAUGUUCCUAUAAAUCUGUAUUUCCCUUUAUUCCUUUGAUGUAAACAAAAAGCACACACAACCGGUUUCCUUUAAUUAGUUGAAUAAUGCAAAUGCAAUAAACGGGGCUUUACAAAAGUGCACAAGUUCCUUAUGUGCCUUUUUUGGGUAACUGUCUGCUGCAUCCUGUACUGGUCACAGAAGUGGAAGUUAUUGCGGUUUCAGACUGAGCACUUGCUGUCCUGAGGAAGGAACACACAUUUGACUAGAUUGUAUCCUCUCUAAAGAUGUGCUGCGCAUCAAUUCAUCUCCUCAUUGGUGCCUUAUUUGUCUUUGCUGUUGAAAAUGAGGCAACAACAACGAUAAGCAGCACAAAAAUCAUCACUGCUCCAGUUUCAAUGUCUGUUGACAACACCACCCUAAUCAAUAAAACACCAGAGGGCUUUCUAGACAACUUUACCACUCCAAACUCCACGGUCGACCUGUCAAACACAACGGAUGGGAAUACUACGUCAGAUGGACAAUCAGAAUCACCUACUCCUCCACCCUCAGAACAUCCGCAGACCAAGUAUUACACCACAGAAAAACCUCUGAAAACUGUUGCGCAAUCAAGCACAAAAAAUAUGAUCAAAAGCACAACAAGCAAAAAAACCAAAUCAGCUGAUGUUAAACAAGAAAUCCAACAGAAUUUAUCCAGCACUCAGGCCACAGUGAACACAAAGGAUCAAACGGAUGGGCUGGCCGCAGUGGAUCUGACUGAUGGAGAACUGACGAUCUCCACCAAAACCUCAAUGGAAUCCCUAGAUGAUGUUCUCAACGAAAACAACUGCAACAAUACAGGAGCUGAAGUCAACGGCAAUGGGCAUGAAUUCACUAAAAUCUCUAUUGAUAUUUAACUUCUAAAAUAAAUCAGCCUCUUCCCAACAUUUAUCAUUGAUCUCUGAACCAGACUGAUGGAAACUGGAAGCAAAAGCUGAACUAAGUUGUAAACUAUGCAAGUCAUUGUUAGAACAAUGCUGUUUGCAUAUAUAUACAGUACUAAGAAAAGUCUAACAGGGCUCAAUGUACUGUAUUGAUGUCUUUCUUCAUAUAUUUUUUUCUUGGGUUUUACUCACUGAAUUUCUUUGUGUUGUUUAAGGGUUAAAUGAAAUAUACUGUGCAUAAACUUAACGGAGAAACUUAAUGGAGUUAGUACUUUUAUAUUUAGAAUAAUAUUACCUAUUAUGUUUGAUUUUAAUAUUGUAACUAUUUUCAACCUAAUUUAUGAAAAUCUAAUCUAAUCUUAAAUGGAUAAUUUUGUAAAUUUUCAACCAGCUUUGUAUUGUUGUCGACUGUAUAUGUAAAUGAACAAUGUGUACUCUUUCUCCGUGUUACUGGACCCAGAUAUCCCCAUUUAUUUUCCAAGCAAAAGGAUGCUUGGAAGUUGGAUCAACAGAGCAUAUAUAUCAAUAUAUAAAAUAUACUAAAAUCGAAAGUGUAAAGCAAAAGGAUGCUUGGAAGUUGGAUCAACAGAGCAUAUAUAUCAAUAUAAUAAAAUAUCUAAAAAUCGUAAAGUGUAUUAUGAGUGUUGACGUUUAUGACAAAAGGGAUAUUUGUACAUUGUACAUUGAAUACAUUUUUUAUUAAAUUAGAUAUGUGUAAAGUUAUCUCAUCAGAGUGCUAUAGAGCUCAGGGUUCCUCUGUUGUAUGUAUACUGUAUGUAUGUUAUAAUGCCUAUAACUGUUAACUGUAAAACUUAGACAUUCAAAUAAUACAACUUUCACCACUUUACGUUUUUUUUUUUAAUUCUAAGUUUUAUAUAUUUUUUUAUUUAUUUUAAUCUCUUUGUAGUGCUUUCACUGUUGCAAAUGUCAAUUGGACAUUAUGUUUUGGGUUAAAGUUUUAUUCAUUUGUUUUAAUAUGUGUUUUCUUAAACUGUAAUUUACACAGUCUUAAGAAGGAUAUUGGCCUAUUGUUGGGUGCAACAUGGGUUUAUAAUUAGUUGCUUCUACCUUCUGAUAUCAUACUGUCAACUAAUACAAUAAAAAUGUAUCUUGAUUAUAACUAUCAUUUAUCAUUACUUGUAGUUUACAUAAAUCUCUUUCUGGGAUAACAGUCUUGGUUUUUAAAUAAACAUGUACUUUAAGUUUAAGACUUCUAUAUCAAAUUGCAGUUUCUAAUAUUAAAAGUCAUGUUCUGGCUGCCCAUUUAACUCAACUACAGUAUAACAGUAACUGCAAAAUCAAUUUGUCAGGUGCAUGUUCUGUCUGUAAUAAAGCAAGUUUUCUGUAUGAGAACUGUACUGUAUUAGAAAUUGCUUUAAGUAACCAAGCAGAUGCCAGACUAGAUGGUUCCGUAACAAGCCUUC
rnacentral:lncRNA from 1 species